AGGUCGAUGCCCAACCACUGAGCCAUGCCGGCCGGGCUCUCAUUUUUUUAAAUCUUUCAGGACCACACUGAUUGGUGUUACCUUAUAUUUUACCAUAUUGGCUUUAGACUUAUCUUAUUCUCUAUAGAAAAAAUUUUUGCUUUUCUCAUCUAUUUAUUUCUUCAGAAGACCUUUAGGAUAACUGAGUUAAAUCCUUUAAAAAUAAUCUAACUAGUAUUUUGAUGGCAUUUGCAUUAAAAAUGCCAUUUGGAUAGACAGCCUCAGCGCAACAUUCAGACUAGCUAUCCAGGAAAAUAGUCUUUGAAAAAUGUAUUUGGGCCCUAGGGGCACGGCACUGGAUUACUCGUCGCUGGCCCCCGCGCUCAGCUGUUCCCUGUUGCUUCCAGGCCGCUCCCUGCGCGGGCGGGAGCCUGAGCCGGGCCCCGCUGUGCUGCCCUCUGCCGGGAGGGGGCAGCAGAGGACGCGGGGGCAGAGCGGGGCGCGCUCCUCCCGCCGGCUCUCCGCUCGGGCCGUCCGCGUUUUGCCCCCACCGGCAUCACCCAGCACAGCUCUUUCAUCCCGGCAGAGGCGGUUCCUUCUUGUAGCUGCUGAACUGGACCAUCAUCGCAUCUCUGGAAUCAAGACAUCCUGUUAGCUGAGGACCGAGUCACAGCUGGUGAUGGAGUCUUUGGCACGAACCAAUCCACUAUUCACCCCACUCUGCAGAAGAAUGGGAGACAGGGAAUGCAAAGUUGACGGCUAAAGCCGAGCAGCCAUUCUGGACCAUGAGACGGAAGACGGAACAAGACAGAAGCCCGAAUCCCAACCCUGUGGAGCCGCCAUCCCCAAUUCCAACCUCCUGUGAAGGCUUCCACGCAAGUGAUGGCACUUUGCAUCUUGUUUAAGCUGUGCCGUUUCGUGUCUUUUUGUUGCAGCAGCGAAACUCGUGACUUAAUAGCUGAGCCACCAGAACACAGGAGCCUGUGACCUACUGCAUUUGAAGAGCAGGCCGGCUAUACUUGUUGAGGCUUUAAUGUGAGAAAGAAACUAUCCUGCUUCAAUAAGCAAUGUUGGUCUCUGCUGAACUGAUACACAAAGAGAAAAGAGAAAACAAGUUUCCUCCGUGUAAGAUGGGGACAACAUCAUAUUUCUUGCACGACUGCUGUGGAGAGCAAGUGUGA